AAAUGAAUUGACGGGGGCCCGCACAAGCGGCGGAGCAUGCGGAUUAAUUCGAUGCAACGCGAAGAACCUUACCAAGGCUUGACAUACACCAGACGCGCUCAGAGAUGGGUGUUCCGUAAGGUUGGUGUACAGGUGGUGCAUGGUUGUCGUCAGCUCGUGUCGUGAGAUGUUGGGUUAAGUCCCGCAACGAGCGCAACCCUUAUCUUAUGUUGCCAGCACGUGAUGGUGGGGACUCAUGGGAGACUGCCGGGGUCAACUCGGAGGAAGGUGGGGAUGACGUCAAAUCAUCAUGCCCCUUAUGUCUUGGGCUUCACGCAUGCUACAAUGGCCGGUACAAACCGUUGCGAUACUGUGAGGUGGAGCGAAUCGGAAAAAGCCGGUCUCAGUUCGGAUUGGGGUCUGCAACUCGACCCCAUGAAGUCGGAGUCGCUAGUAAUCGCAGAUCAGCAACGCUGCGGUGAAUACGUUCCCGGGCCUUGUACACACCGCCCGU
rnacentral:rRNA from 1 species